rnacentral:rRNA from 1 species
AACGAACGCUGGCGGCAGGCUUAACACAUGCAAGUCGAGCGCACCGCAAGGUGAGCGGCAGACGGGUGAGUACCGCGUGGGAAUCUACCCAACCCUACGGAAUAACCCAGGGAAACUUGGACUAAUACCGUAUACGCCCUUUUGGGGAAAGAUUUAUCGGGGAUGGAUGAGCCCGCGUUGGAUUAGCUAGUUGGUGGGGUAAAGGCCUACCAAGGCGACGAUCCAUAGCUGGUCUGAGAGGAUGAUCAGCCACAUUGGGACUGAGACACGGCCCAAACUCCUACGGGAGGCAGCAGUGGGGAAUAUUGGACAAUGGGCGCAAGCCUGAUCCAGCCAUGCCGCGUGAGUGAUGAAGGCCUUAGGGUUGUAAAGCUCUUUCAGUAGGGAAGAUAAUGACGGUACCUACAGAAGAAGCCCCGGCUAACUUCGUG